UCCUCAAGCCCACACGUAACCUUGCGACCUCUCUCUCUCCCCUGUGCUCUUCGCCGCCGCCGCCGCUGCCGCCGCCCUGCCUCACCCCAUCUCCUUCCCUUGGCCGGCGCUCCACCCAUCCGCUCUCCCCACCGCCCCCUCUCAUCUCUCACAUCGCCUCCUCCUCCUCUCGCUCCUCGCCUUCCACGCCGUCCCCGCCACUAUCGCCGCUCCUCCUAUUCUUCCUUGUGCCCCCUUCCAUCCCCUCCUGUGGCGGACGAUCCUCUCGACGAUGGAUGUGGGAGAGGGAGAAUCCGGGAAGGUGGGCGGGUCCGGGUCAACAUAGGGUCGAUUUCGAGGCCUCUCAUGGCCGCGCCCACACCACCUGUGCUCCUCCCCUCCUGCGGCGCAGCUGCUGCUUCUGGAGCUCUGUUCGGAAAGGAAUACGUCUAGCCGCCGGCCAAUGGAAGGCCCUCAUCGGCCUCGCGCCUCCGCCGGCCUCCAAUCCCACGCAUCCAGCCCCUGAUUCGUGCACGCGGCAAAACGGCCGCUGCUGCCGGAGCGCCAUUCGUCAGCGAGGAGGCCCAGAGUGACACCGCCGCCGGCGCCGGUGCUCCCCAACGUAGCCACUCCGACGACGGCCAGGAUUGUUACUAUCUGUCUCAAGUUCCUUGAAGUCACGUACAUGCUCAUGCCCGCGUCUGAUUUGUUCUCGUGGUCGUGUUCCUGCCGUAGCUGCGUCCACGGUUGUGCAGAUGGCUUCUAUCACCCUUGCUGAUCUAUGUUGUGGAAGACAAAAUCAAAUGCUAUGUGUCCGGGUGUCUCGGCUUACGCACUUCCGCAGCGGUUUAGAGAGCGGUCCUAUCAAGCUCAUACACAUGGUCAUCAUCGACGUGCAGGUACUGUUUAGCACAUAACACGGCAGCAGACCAAUUGUGCAUAUGUUAUUCCUUUCAUGAUGUGUCCUUUUGUCCUAGGGUAACUGCAGUUAUGCAGUUGUACCAACAUCAUUUGCCGGUGCUUAUUUACAUGUCUUACAAGAGCGGAUUAUCUAUAAGCUUGGCUACUUGAUGGUCUGGCCACUGCUAAACAUACUGAAUCCUGCUGCAGCUCCACGCAUGAGUUUAUCUUAGGUACCACUGAAAUUUAACUAAUAAUACGUAGCAUCUUGCCACCUAACAGAUUCAUAUGUGGUCACUAAAUUCAAUGUCUAUAAACUUUUCUGUACACAUAUACAGUUAGCAUAUUGAUUGCAUUCUCUACUCUCAUAUGGUGUUGUAUCUUCAACUACUUGCAGAUAUAUAUUUUCUAACUUGGUUUAGUUUUAUUAAUGUCUCGCCAAGCAUGAUGGAUGCUUGCUGAAAGGGGCAUUGUCUGUACUUUUCAUAGUGCAAAACGACAUGUUAUGGCAAGAUUGAUCGUUUGGUAGAAUGAUUACUCCUGCAUUAUAGCGCUACCUAUGAAAAUUGAAAGGAAGAGUUGUGGUGGUAUCACGUGGAUGAUUUUCGGAUUAUUAGUUUGCCUCUCAAUGAUUUGUUCAAUAUUGGAGGGUCAUUUGCUGAGACUUGGUUUGUGCCAUGACGUUCUUUUGAAUUGCUAGUACACUUUUCUUUGUGAUAUUUCUUUACAUUUGCCUAUGAAAAAAGGCGCUACGUAAAUUCCAGUUUUACCUGAGAUAAACUAAUGGUGUUGUAUCUCGUAUGUCCUGUUGAAUAGAAGGAAUCAAGGAAAUGAUGGCGUUAGUCUUGAUCUGGGGAAGUGUUCAGUUCACGUAUAGGAUAUAUGCCAUUGAUACCAGUACAACACAGUUUUUGUUUGUUGCAAGGUAGCCUCUCUUUUUUAUUUGCUGGUUCCUCAGACCACUACCUUUUCUUCUUUAGAACUUACUCCAAGUGACAAGUACUGAUAAGCAUAUCCCUCAGAUCACUACAUUUCCUUUAGAACACACACAACAUAUCCAGACACACUCGGGUAUCACCCUCUCAUACACAUGGGUAAUACUCAAGAUGGCAAUGGGGACGAAACCCAUCGGGGUUUGCCUUCCCAAACCCAUCCCCACGAGAAAAUCAUAAACCCGUCCCCAUCCCCAUCACCAUGCGCGGGGCUAGUUUUCCGCCCGUCCCCUAAACCCAUCGGGUUUCGGGGAACCCACGGGGGACCCACAAGAAAAUCAAAAUAUUUAAACAAACAUAGUGGCGACAAAGAAUAACAUUUCAGCAGCAAAACAAGCACAUUUCAGCAGCAUAACUUGAGCAAAUUUCAACAAAAAACAAUAUUAGAUGGUUCAACAGCUAUAUAGAAUGUAUUUCAGCAGCAUGACACCACAUUUCAGCAACAAAAAUGAUCAGAUUUCAGCAAGAAAGAUGAUAAGCCAUACAUGGUUCAACAAGAUGUGCAAUUACAUAAGUUUUAAAAUAGAAUUCUUGGUUUGGCCUUCAACGUUGGGGGGUGGGGGCUCGGUCGCUCAGGCUCGAUAGCUUUGGUUUGGGCCGCACCGGAUCAGUGCUUGGUAAAAAAUGUAUUUUCCUGGGUUUGCCGGGUUUCGGGUUCGGGGACUGCUGAAACGGGUGCAAACCCACGAAACAUGUCGGGUUGUAUAAUGUGCCCAACAACAGCCCCACGGGGAUGAAAAUAUGCCCAUCCCCGUCCCCUAAUAGGGUAAAAACCCGCGGGGACGCGGGUUUCGGGGCCCCAUUGCCAUCUUGAGGUAAUACCCUCUAUCUCUAACAGUAUGCAGACAUAUUUUCUCUUUGCCUGUUCAAUUUCUUUCUCGUUGCUCUUCAGUUGAUCAAUUCGAACAUGGUACCCCAUGCCCACGAUAUACUCAUCGUCACUGUUCCGAUUCGCCCGACCCCAACGACUCAGCUACUUCCUAUCACCACCUGGUACUCCUCUUUGCUUGAUGCUCCUGCGCUGCUUAUUGUGCUCGCCGUUGCUGAUGUAUUUAGUUUCAUGCAUUAUGGUUCAGUGGGUGUCUAGAAGACUUGGUAGAUUUUAGUAAAAUGACCUAUAUAUUGGUUUCAGAACAUAGCGAGACUAUGUCCUGAUAUAUUUGGCUACUUUUAUCUUUUUGCAUCAGUUCUGAGUCAGGGUGGACACGGUCCGGGCCGGUCCGGUCCCUGACCGAGCCGCCGUUUGGACCGGCCGGCGGCGGACUGAACCGGACCGGACCGAGCAGCGCGGCGGUCUCCUUUUCCUGCACCGGACCGGCGGAGGUAAAGCUCGGGCCGGACCGAGAGGACCGCCCAUGGCGGCGGCGGCGGCGACGUGGUGACCACGGCAGCGGCGACAGACGACUCCGGCGAGCUCCUGGACAUGAUGAAGACAACUGCCUGGUCGAGAUCGGCGACGACGAGACGCGGUGGCGCCGGCCAGGGCGCAUCUGUUAGCCGCUCAUGUUUGUUGCUGCAGCUUUUCCGUUACAUGCAAGUAUUUUAGCGCGUCCAUGAGCCCACGAUUUCGUGUGUGGUGGCAUUGCUGUGAUUAGUGGAUCAAUUUUGACGUGGAGAUAGUCGUGGGAUGACGCCUUAAUUAACGGAUCGAACCUCGCUUCUUUUGCGGUUUCUGUUAUCUGUUAGACGGAAUAAAAGGAAAG